rnacentral:rRNA from 1 species
CAGUGAAAUUGAACUCGCUGUGAAGAUGCAGUGUACCCGCGGCAAGACGGAAAGACCCCGUGAACCUUUACUAUAGCUUGACACUGAACAUUGAGCCUUGAUGUGUAGGAUAGGUGGGAGGCUUUGAAGUGUGGACGCCAGUCUGCAUGGAGCCGACCUUGAAAUACCACCCUUUAAUGUUUGAUGUUCUAACGUUGACCCGUAAUCCGGGUUGCGGACAGUGUCUGGUGGGUAGUUUGACUGGGGCGGUCUCCU